rnacentral:tRNA from 1 species
GGUUUGAAACCCAAAGAAUUGGGGGCCGGGUUUCGCCCACAAUUGGGAAUGUGUAUAACCC